rnacentral:rRNA from 1 species
AGGUUAAGUGAAUAAGGGCGCACGGUGGAUGCCUUGGCACUAGGAGCCGAUGAAGGACGGGACUAACACCGAUAUGCUUUGGGGAGCUGUAAGUAAGCUAUGAUCCAGAGAUUUCC